rnacentral:rRNA from 1 species
UACGUAGGGGGCUAGCGUUGUCCGGAAUCAUUGGGCGUAAAGCGCGCGUAGGCGGCCCGGUAAGUCCGUUGUGAAAGUCAAAGGCUCAACCUUUGAAAGCCGAUGGAUACUGGCGGGCUGGAGUCCGGAAGAGGCGAGUGGAAUUCCUGGUGUAGCGGUGGAAUGCGCAGAUAUCAGGAGGACACCAACUAGCGAAGGCAGCUCGCUGGGACGGUACUGACGCUGAGGCGCGAAAGCGUGGGGAGCGAACAGG